UGCAAUUGUUCCAAACACACUCUUCCUCUAAAGAAGAAGAUAUCGAUAAUCCAAUCAAUCCUGCUGCCGUGAAAAAAAAAGAGUGAUCUACUCCCAUCUAUUCAAGAUCAAUCUUGCUCUGGCGCAAAAGAUAACCUAAUUUCUUCAAAAAUUGUAGUGUUAAUCCAAUCAAUACUGCUGCUACAGUUUCUGGAUUUAUUCCUCUUCUCAAUAUUCAGUUGGAGAGAUUCUUUCCUUCAAUUGAUAGUUGUUUUCCUGGGGAAAUCAUUGAAAUUGAAAAUAGAAUGGUUGAAACCAUGUGUUUUUGGGUUGAAAAACUCAGAUCCUGGUUUUGGCAACUCCAAUGAUGCUGAGAAACAGAAACUCAUCAUCCAGCGGCUUUUGUUAUUUAUAUGAAAAUGUCUUGCCGUGGUGCUGUGCUUCCUGAAAAUGUUGAUGCUUGCCUGAUGCUAUUCUUCCCGGUACAUUUGUGCUACAGGUUAAUGAGAUAGUUGAUCUAAGUUCUCAUCGACAAGAUAGGUUUCUGGGUGUACCUUCAGGAUUAAGUGGUGUCUAUGACUGAUGGUGUUCAAUGUGUAAUUGGUAUGGAGGACGGACCUAUCAAAGAUCUUCAAGCUUUUAGCUCCUGUUGGUUUCAAGGUUUGUUCUACUGAAGUUUCAGCAACUCUUUACUCUGAUGCAGAAAGCCAACAUGGUAUGAUCAGAAAAAUGCUACAGCUACUCUUGCUGUUUGGAAACCCAAUGAUGUUGGCAGUAGAGCCAGUGGUGUUGGUGGGUUUGCCAUUGCUGACAUCUCAACUUUGCAAGACGCAAUUCCCUUUAGAAGAUCGAGCUGUGUAGAAGAUGGAUGAGGUACCAUUCAUCCGGAGCAAAAUCAAGGAAGAAGCAUUCCAGGAUUCAAAGGAGGUAGAGGAAGGUGCUGCAGUCCCCAAGAAGUGGCUAUUACAAGAAAUAUGGAUGUUGGCGCGCAAAGAGAUGUUGCUUCAAUACAAAAGGACUGCAUCUGUAGUUGGAACAUCUUCAGUAUCAAGUUCAGAUCCAGGAACUUCUCCAUUUUUCAUUUCGGAAGUUAAUGGUGAUCUGAAGAAAAAAGAGUCACCAGUAUCGCAAGAACACAGACAUGGUGAUGAGUAGCUCGGAAAGUGAUAGUGUUUAAGCCUUCCAUUGACCAGCUUUGGAUUCCAACGAUGGAUAACAGAAAUGCAUAGUUCAGGUUGUUAAACAUCGAAUCAACUGGAAGAAAAUUCAGACUAUGCGUUGAAACUCAAACUUCCACAUCCGAAGCAUUGUUGGAGAAAUUAUCUAAGCUUGAUAUUGAAGCAGGAAUAGAAGCAAUCAGCAUGUCAGAUAUCCACUACAAUGGAAACUUAAGAGAAGCAGUUUCUCUUUUGCAAGGAGUGCACCUCUAGGUCUACCACAUCUUUGUUCAAUAUGUCAACACAAGGGACCCGAAUUUGGAAAACCACCAAGGUAGUUUAGCUAUGCUUAGUUGGAACUUGCAACAGGUGGAUUUUCCCAAGCAAAUUUCUUACCGGAAGGUGGGUUUGGGUCUGUCACAGGGAAGUCCUACCAGAUGGCUAGUCGGUCGCUGUCAAGCAACAAAAAUUAGCUAGUUUCCAAGGGGAUCAAGAAUUUUGGUCAGAAGUUGAGGUUAUAUGAAUAUAUUUGCAAUGGAUCAUUGCCAUUGGAUUCUCAUCUUUACAGUACUCCUCUACUAUACCAACAAAUUCAUAAGAUUUCAUUAGACAUUUAUGGUUAUAUGUUAAGAUUCAAUGUUCUCAGAGUAGAAAUAUAAAUGCUCACAUGGAAUUGUCACAGCGAAUAAUGUAAAGUGUCUCUGAAAUUCAAUUAAACAUAACUUCUUUGUU